CUUGCCGGUUGCUUUUCAACUACAAACACAGAUGAAUCAGUUGAUACUAAAGUUGUAACUCGUAAUCGUGUUUGUAAUCUUGGAUGUUCCAUCGGCCAUUGCUCCAAGUUUCUCGUUCAAUAUGAUAAUGAGAAGUUUGGAAGUUGCAUGACAAACUGCAGUGAGAACUAUUGCAUUGGCAAUGCUCUAGAGAAAGCUGCAGCUUAAGAACAACUAAUAAUAUUAAAAAGUAGAAUUAUGGCCACUAAGUAUGUGUCUAUGACACUAUGUUAUGUACUAAAUGAAAGCUACUAAAUGCUUUUGUGGUUGUAAUUUUCUAUGUUAUGUGUGUAAUUGUGUUGUAUUAAAUAAAACUCUAGUGCUUCCUACUAAAGCACUAAAGAAGUUAUUUCCAAUAA